rnacentral:piRNA from 2 species
UCCAUCCUGGUAUAGUUUUCGGUGUUCUUGU